rnacentral:misc_RNA from 1 species
AAAGAAAAAAAAAAGAAAAAAAAAUCAUAUUCCAGAUUAAGCAUAGUUCAACAAAAGCACUACAAUCAGAAUAAUGGACCCCAAAUUCUACAUUCCAAGCUGCUCCUAGAAAAAUCAAUUAUAACCUUAUCUAUUAUCAAUUAAAUCGCCACAGUAACAUAUCCCAAAUUCUACUCUCCAAGCUACUUUUGGAAGACUAAUAAUAAUCUUCAUCACCAUCAAGUAAAGCACCUUUCUUCAUCAGGGGUAAGGACCUCAAUGUUUUGUUCCUUUUCAUUUCUCUCUGAAUUAGUCCAUCUAUAAAGUCCAAUCAAAGGCAAUAUACCUAGAAACAAUUAUGUCUGGUGUUGCUCCUAAAAAUCAGGUUGAUUGGAUGGGAGAGAGGCCACUUUGUGAUUAAGGUUCCAAAUCUUAUUGUGAUCUUCAUCCCCUAAGCGUUGAUUCCAUGUAAGUGUUUCUUUUAUUGGCAUUCGUAAUACUAUCCAUUGUCUAAAAUCAAAUUCACGCUCCAGUGUUAUAAGGUUAAAACAUCUGAUGUUACUAGUUAACAUUUCUCGAGUCCUUGGCAUGUGCCUCACCUAUGAAUACUCAGGGCAUAAGACCUUGGGCCUUGGUGCACCCUAGUUCAGGCAUACCUUUGACUACUAUGCAUGCGAGCAGAGAUGGAGCCAUGAUAUUUUUUCAGUGGGGUCAUAUUCAACAAGUCAAUUCAUGAUUGACAUCUCUUCAUCUGCAAAUAAUUCUUGAUGUGAAAACAGACAUUUUUGUUGAUGCUGUUCCCAUUAGAAACUCUCUGGUGUAUAAAGAUAUUCAUACUUUUCACAUAUGGGAAUAUGAAAUUUAGACUCAUGCGACAAGCCAAGGAUAUAAUGGUAUGAGAUUCAAUAUGAUGUCCUAAAGCCUAAUUAUGAGUCAUAAAUUUGAUUCCUAAUCUCACCAAUACAAUUUCAAAGAUUGGAACAAAGAAAUAUAACAACUAAAAUAAACUUCAAGUAAAACAACAAUCAAUAUCAUAGAUGUGAUAUAUAUGCACUAAAUGAGAUUGGAGAGUCAAAAUGUCCAAGUUUGAGUCCUUUUACGGUUUUACGUAUUUAAACCAAAAUACAAAAUUAACAUGUAUUAAUUUUUCGAAUAAUUUCAGUGGGUCAAUUGAGUGAAAGGCCCAGCAAAAAUUUUAUACGCUACCUAUAUGUUUCAUGUUUCCCUAAAAUUCUUUUACCCCAAUCAAUGACAAUUAGCCCCGCCUAUGCAUAUGAGGUGCUGUAAGAGAAUGCAAAAUAUGAUUGUCUUGGGCAUAUUUCUUGGAAAACUUAAAAUAUCUGUUUUCCAUGACUGGAAGUGUUUAAUUGGAGGCAUUUUUGUAGUUGGAAAGCAUAGUAUUUACAGUCCUGUUGUGUUGAUAGAGAGCGUCCAAAGUAUCAAAUA